GGGUUAUCUAAAAUAAGAGAAGUUUAGCAUUCCCCUUGACAAGGAUGGAAGAGGCCCUUGGGCCUAGCAACACACAUAUGGUUAAGGCAUUGCCACCUAUUUUGUGACUUCUAAUCACUGUUUUUC